rnacentral:rRNA from 1 species
CCUACGGGAGGCUGCAGUGAGGAAUAUUGGUCAAUGGACGAGAGUCUGAACCAGCCAAGUAGCGUGAAGGAUGACUGCCCUAUGGGUUGUAAACUUCUUUUAUAUGGGAAUAAAAUGUUCCACGUGUGGGAUUUUGUAUGUACCAUAUGAAUAAGGAUCGGCUAACUCCGUGCCAGCAGCCGCGGUAAUACGGAGGAUCCGAGCGUUAUCCGGAUUUAUUGGGUUUAAAGGGAGCGUAGGUGGAUUGUUAAGUCAGUUGUGAAAGUUUGCGGCUCAACCGUAAAAUUGCAGUUGAAACUGGCAGUCUUGAGUACAGUAGAGGUGGGCGGAAUUCGUGGUGUAGCGGUGAAAUGCUUAGAUAUCACGAAGAACUCCGAUUGCGAAGGCAGUUCACUGGACUGCAACUGACACUGAGGCUUGAAAGUGUGGGUAUCAAACAGGAUUAGAUACCCGAGUAGUC